rnacentral:pre_miRNA from 2 species
UCUCAGGCUGUGACCCUCUAGAGGGAAGCGCUUUCUGUUGUCUGAAAGAAAAGAAAGUGCAUCCUUUUAGAGGGUUACCAUUUGAGA